rnacentral:rRNA from 1 species
CAGCCGCCGCGGGAAUACCAGCACCUCGAGUGGUCAGGAGGUUUAUUGGGCCUAAAGCAUCCGUAGCCGGUUGCAUAAGUUUUCGGUUAAAUCUAUGCGCUUAACGUAUAGGCCGUCGAAAAUACUGUGCAGCUAGGGAGUGGGAGAGGUACACGGUACUCGAUAGGAAGGGGUAAAAUCCUUUGAUCUAUUGAUGACCACCUGUGGCGAAGGCGGUGUACCAGAACACGUUCGACGGUGAGGGAUGAAAGCUGGGGGAGCAAACCGGAUUAGAUACCCCGGUAGUCCCUGUCUCUUAUAC